CGCUCCUUGAUUGUCAUGUCAUGCAAAUAUCGCACAACAAAUGACACUUGCUCUUUGUGUGAGACAUCAGAGGUUUCAUCAAGGAGGAUGGAAAACAUUUCGGCCUUUUUUAUUUCGUGGUUUAUCUCCCUUCUGAUGUAAGUGGCUAGUGCUGCAAUGAUGUCAUUUUGGCAUCUGUUGGAAAGCAGUGACACCUGGGGCCUAGUCUUGGUGUCUUUAGCUUUGGAAACCUUUUCCAAAUGCAUUUUCAGGACACUGUCAUAUCGAGAAAACACAUUCACUAAUUCACGGAAAUUGCCACGGUUGUCACUGGACUCACUCUCAUUAUGCCCUCUGAAUGCUUGUCCCUGACGUGCAAGAUACACUGUGAGGUCAAUCAAUCUGGUCAGGAUUUCCCUAUUUGCCUGCCUCUCUCGCUCUCUAACUUCCACCCCCUUUACAUCUGAAACAUCAAAUGCAGACUGGAGGAGCUUAUUUGGAAGUUGGUCCAUCGAACCAUGCUUGUCAUGUGCAUCUCUGUGAUGGAGUGUUGCUUGAUUUUUUCAAGAGCAGUGCCCCACUUUCUGAUGCCAUCAGUUGUCCAGGCUGUUUUACUUUUGUAUUUUUCCUCGGAGGAAAAGCCGACAGCUAAAACAAUGCAUGGAAUUACCAGCAGGGGAGUAUUCCAGUCACACAUUCCCUGAAAACCACUGCUUCUGGAAUGAUCUCCCCUCUGUAUUUUUUGGGUAUGGUAUAUCUGGCUGGCAUGGGCCCCGACUGCAGCGCAUCGAAAUGUAUUCAUUACCCUUGAUUUUAAACGCAGAAACAUGUGAAGGAUCCGUUGGAUAAGGCAAAGUCGCUAUCUUGCUCAUCUCUCUUCUUCUUUCAUCUUGGCUCAUCUCCCUGUUUUCCUUCAUCCACCUGCUCUUCCUCAUCCACCUGCCCUUCCUCAUCCAUCUGCUCUUCCUCAUCCACCUGUUCUUCCUCAUCCACCUGCUCUUCCUCAUCCACCUGUUCUUCCUCAUCCUGCUGUUCUCCCUCAUCCUUUUCUGUCUCUGUGUCUUCCCUGAACUCUUCCUCAUCUCCUGUCCUGGUAGAUGUUGAUGGUAUAGAGCUUCCCUGCUGUGGCUGGCUACAAUAUAAUAAUAAUAAUAAUAACCAUUAUCACAAUAAUAAUAAUAAUAAUAAUAAUAAUAAUGAUAGCUUCAACAAAUAUGCCACAUUAGUUUAAAUAUGAGCUAUUUACAGCAACAUGACUGGAAGUCUUGACUUAUGGUAGCCUACAAAAUAGCUAUUUUAAUGCCUGCUGAUUUUGUACAAACCACUUAAAAAUAAAAUGUGAUAAGACUUUUCAAAACCAUUAGCCCAAAGGAGCAGAUCAAUAGCAUAUAGCCUAAGGCACACAACAGUUAGUGACUUUGACUCUGACCUUCCAUCGUGUGGCUUUCCUUUCAUCCAGGAGAGCAGAGAGCUGCUUCCCUGUGCUGCCUGCUGUAGCUCUUUUAUUCGUUCUUUUUUCAGCCUCUCUUUUCUUGGCAUUGUGCUGCAAUUAGUAAAUCAAAAUCAAUAUACAAUUAACAAAGAGACCAAAAAGUACGAGAAGAAGGAGUUAGCUGCUAACUGUUGUCAUUGAAUAGGCCUACAGAUGGGCAUUUUUCACAUGAGGAACUUCCCGUUUUUUUCUGCCACAAAUAAAUGUGUUAAUUUAUGUUGCCUGACAAAACCUAUACAACAGAAAACGUUCGUCCUAACACAUUUGCAGAUUUGCAAUUGCAAACUCUACCGAAAUAAUUUGUAGCCUAAUAAGCCUAUGGUCGUCCUUAUCGGUCGGCGUUAUCUGUCAUUGGGCUAUACAGCGUAAAACUUUAUCAGGUGACCAGUCGGCUAAAAAUGCUUAGUUGUUUGUUGCUCUAUGAGACAUUUUAUUGCACAACAAAAUGAUUAGGCUACACGUUGGGCUUAGAGGGCAAACUAUACGAUUUUCCUUGAUCUGUAUGUUACCUGGCUGGUGGGAACACGGGAGAAGAUGCCUGUCUGCGACCGUGCCUGCUAUGCUGGAGACGCUUCUGUUUACUGAAGCGCAUGUGGUGCCCUGCGCGUGCCAGCGCGAGUGCAAGUGACAAAGGAAGAGAAUUGAGUCUGGUCUGUGCAAGGGAGACGUGGCUCAUUUUUGGGCAUUGUUUCAGUUGUUUUUAAUCGCUUAGGUUUUUAAAAGAUCAUUUCAAAACCGGCCUCAGUAAAAUGUUAAUAAUAAAAAAAAUAUAUAAAAAAAAAAAAAAGUUUCAAAAGGGCAUUUUCGUUGAUAAAGGGCAAAAGUCCUGGUGCGUUAGCACCACCUAGUGUCUAUGUGUGCACGCCACUGCUGUUAAGGCCACAAAUGAAAUGCAAUCUCUGCAAUCGCAGGAUGAAAUUGAAAGAAGACAAGGGAGGAGACAAUUACAGUUGGUAAGAAAAGGUGUUAAUAUCAAUGUGGAUUAUUGAUGCAUAUUGACAGCCUAAGCUAAUUGAUAAAAUAUGUAUAGACUACAGUAAAAGUACAUUAAUUAGGCUCCCCCCCCACCCCCUGUUUCUGGGAAGCAUGUCCCCAUGCUUCAUAGUCCUAUCAUAAAGCCAUCGCGCAUUACCAGUGAACAUGCUUCUGACUGUCUCAUGCACUAUCCCAAAUCUAUCCUGGUUUACUGUUAUCCCAAUAUGCCUAUUUACAUGUUUUAUACUAUUUUAAUAGGAUAUGUCAACGAGCAGUGCACAGAGGGCAUAAGAGACAGAAAUCUGUCAGGCACAGGUCCAUAUUCAGCCGUUCGAAAACCUCUCUCUGUGACUGGAUGCGGUCCAUUCACAGAUUUUCACAGGGACUACGCAUGAGACAAAUCGAUAUGAUGGCUGACGACAUAGCAGGGAGCUCUGCUACCCUCACUAAAAUGUCUAAAAAGUUGCGGAGGGUCUGUGUGACAGCGAUUGAAAAAUUUAGAAGACGGAGAGGACAGGUUGGUGGAUGGAGAGAAUUCGUCCAGAUUGAUGAGAGCCAUUUCCGACAUAAAAGAAAGUAUGGAAGAGGAAGAAUGGCUGGAGGAUGGAAGAGGAAGAAGUGGGUCUUUGGUAUGUUGAGUGUGAGGAAUGACGGGAGAAAGAAGGGUAAGCCAAUACUGCGGCUGGUCGAAACAAGAUCCAGAAGACACUAGUGGUGGGGGAAAAAAUCGAUUCACUUCAGUAUCGCGAUAUUUUGCAUUCGCAAUUAUAUCGAUACAGUAGCGCAAAGUAUUGCGAUAUUUAAUUAUAUAAUUAUGUGUUUUACUUUCGGGUUUUCUCUGACUUUACUCUGAUAAUAUUACAUUUCCAUAUUACAACCACAAGGUGGCGCUUGUUGCGGUGCUUUGAUGACGUGCAUUAAACAACAAAUUAGGUGGUGCUUUGUUACCUUGCAUUCAACAAAUUUAAAUGAAAAUGGCUUCACCAUCUCUACCGAUUGUACACGAAGCUCCGUCUUCUUUUAAGUCGAAAGUGUGGCUACAUUUCGGUUUUUAUCGAAAAUGUAAUACUAGUAAAGACCUUGACAUGCAGUUUGCCAUCUGCAAAGAGUGCCGGAUGAAAAUUAAGUAUUGUGGGAAUACGACGAAUUUGAGAGUGCAUCUCACAAGGUACCAUUUAGAGUUAGCGAUAGCGACCCCUGAGGAACGACCCAAAGUUGUCCUACCCGCAAAUCAACGCACCUUGGACCAAACUAAAGUGAUAAAGUUACCUCAAAACUCUGAAAGGGCAAAGAAAAUCACUGAGGCAAUAGCCUACUUCAUCCCCAAAGACUUACAGCCUUACAGUGUGGUGGAGAAUGAAGGUUUCCAGAAUCUGCUAGGCAUACUGGAGC